rnacentral:rRNA from 1 species
GAUGAACGCUGGCAGCGUGCCUAAUACAUGCAAGUCGAGCGAACAGAUGAGGAGCUUGCUCCUCUGACGUUAGCGGCGGACGGGUGAGUAACACGUGGAUAACCUACCUAUAAGACUGGGAUAACUUCGGGAAACCGGAGCUAAUACCGGAUAAUAUAUUGAACCGCAUGGUUCAAUAGUGAAAGACGGUUUUGCUGUCACUUAUAGAUGGAUCCGCGCCGCAUUAGCUAGUUGGUAAGGUAACGGCUUACCAAGGCAACGAUGCGUAGCCGACCUGAGAGGGUGAUCGGCCACACUGGAACUGAGACACGGUCCAGACUCCUACGGGAGGCAGCAGUAGGGAAUCUUCCGCAAAGGGCGAAAGCCUGACGGAGCAACGCCGCGUGAGUGAUGAAGGUCUUCGGAUCGUAAAACUCUGUUAUUAGGGAAGAACAAAUGUGUAAGUAACUAUGCACGUCUUGACGGUACCUAAUCAGAAAGCCACGGCUAACUACGUG